UCUGUCUCUCCCUUCACCUGUCUUUUCCCUGUUCCAUGGGAUGACACAGCAAAAAGACCCCUGCCAGAUGUUAGCCCCUUGAUUUUGGACCUCUCAGCCUUCAGAACUGACAUUGUGGCAUUACUCCAUCUUUCCAGAAGGAGGACCUGGAUGCAUGACGAUCCCAAGGAGAUGUUGUAAAGUCAGGAUUUGGGCUCAGGUCUGUCUGGCUUGAGAGCCUCUGGGCUUUGCUCUGCCUCCUCUGCUCACACACAGUGGACCAGAGGAGAAGAUAUGGAUGAACUCCUUGGACCCACCCUGUUCCCAGCUCAUCUGGGAGAAUGAAGCUAAUUGGUAAAUCCACUGUUUGAUGCUUGUAAUGAAGACUCAAGGAGUUCUGUCUCUACCAAGUUCCUUGCCCUUAAUGACUCAAGAAUUAAUUUUAUCUUUUCCUCUCAAAACCUUGAAAGAAAUGCUUGAGUCCUUGU
rnacentral:lncRNA from 1 species